rnacentral:misc_RNA from 1 species
UCUGCAGCCCGACCUGAGUGGAGCUCUUUUUUUGUUAUUGCGAAGAUUGAAAGUUCUAUGGAUGGCUUCACUUCGUUCACAAUGUCACAAUGACAGAAAAAAGCGGGAACGGAGGGCGGAAAUAGCU